rnacentral:misc_RNA from 1 species
GAUGAAGAACGUAGCGAAAUGCGAUACUUGGUGUGAAUUGCAGAAUCCCGUGAACCAUCGAGUCUUUGAACGCAAGUUGCGCCUCAAGCCAUUAGGUUGAGGGCACGUCUGCCUGGGCGUCACAUAUCGUUGCCUGAUGCCAGUUUCCUCGUGAUGGGUGACUGUGCAGGGCGAAUGAUGGCUUCCCGUGAGCACUGUUGCCUCAUGGUUGGUUGAAAAUUGAGUCCUUGGUAGGGAGCGCCGUGAUAGAUGGUGGUUGAGUGACGAACGAGACCCAAUCAUGUGAGACCCCUACCGAAUUUGGCCUUCAUGACCCACAUGCGUCUUUGGAACGCUCAUGACGAGACCUCAGGUCAGGCGGGGCUACCCGCUGAGUUUAAGCAUAUCAAUAAGCGGAGGA